rnacentral:rRNA from 1 species
UACGAAGGGGGCUAGCGUUGCUCGGAAUCACUGGGCGUAAAGCGCACGUAGGCGGAUCGAUCAGUCAGGGGUGAAAUCCCAGAGCUCAACUCUGGAACUGCCUUUGAUACUGUCGAUCUGGAGUAUGGAAGAGGUGAGUGGAAUUCCGAGUGUAGAGGUGAAAUUCGUAGAUAUUCGGAGGAACACCAGUGGCGAAGGCGGCUCACUGGUCCAUUACUGACGCUGAGGUGCCGAAAGCGUGGGGAGCAAACAGG